GAGGGUAUAGCUCAGUGGUGGAGCACAUGCUUAGCAUGCACAAGGUCCUGGGUUCAAUCCCCAGUCCCUGCA
rnacentral:tRNA from 1 species